rnacentral:rRNA from 1 species
UACGAAGGGGGCGAGCGUUGUUCGGAUUUACUGGGCGUAAAGGGCGCGCAGGCGGCUAUCCAAGUCAGGCGUGAAAGCCCCGGGCUUAACCUGGGAGGUGCGUCUGGGACUGGGUGGCUAGAGUUCGGGAGAGGAGAGUGGAAUUCCCAGUGUAGAGGUGAAAUUCGUAGAUAUUGGGAAGAACACCGGUGGCGAAGGCGGCUCUCUGGACCGAGACUGACGCUGAGGCGCGAAAGCGUGGGGAGCAAACAGGG